rnacentral:piRNA from 1 species
CCCAGUGGCCCAGGAAUCCUCUAAUGAUG